rnacentral:rRNA from 1 species
UACGUAGGGGGCAAGCGUUGUCCGGAUUUAUUGGGCGUAAAGAGCGUGUAGGCGGCCAAACAGGUCAGCUGUGAAAACUCGAGGCUCAACCUCGAGACGUCGGUUGAAACCGUUUGGCUAGAGUCCGGAAGAGGAGAGUGGAAUUCCUGGUGUAGCGGUGAAAUGCGCAGAUAUCAGGAAGAACACCCGUGGCGAAGGCGGCUCUCUGGGACGGUACUGACGCUGAGACGCGAAAGCGUGGGGAGCGAACAGG